GAGACCGGCGCACGGGUGCGUAACGCGUAUGCAAUCUACCUUUUACAGAGGGAUAGCCCAGAGAAAUUUGGAUUAAUACCUCAUAGUAUGUGAGAAUCGCAUGGUUUUCACAUUAAAGUUCCAACGGUAAAAGAUGAGCAUGCGUCCCAUUAGCUAGAUGGUAAGGUAACGGCUUACCAUGGCGACGAUGGGUAGGGGUCCUGAGAGGGAGAUCCCCCACACUGGUACUGAGACACGGACCAGACUCCUACGGGAGGCAGCAGUGAGGAAUAUUGGACAAUGGGCGCAAGCCUGAUCCAGCCAUGCCGCGUGCAGGAUGACGGUCCUAUGGAUUGUAAACUGCUUUUGUACAGGAAGAAACACUCCCUCGUGAGGGAGCUUGACGGUACUGUAAGAAUAAGGAUCGGCUAACUCCGUGCCAGCAGCCGCGGUAAUACGGAGGAUCCAAGCGUUAUCCGGAAUCAUUGGGUUUAAAGGGUCCGUAGGCGGUUUAAUAAGUCAGUGGUGAAAGCCCAUCGCUCAACGGUGGAACGGCCAUUGAUACUGUUAAACUUGAAUUAUUAGGAAGUAACUAGAAUAUGUAGUGUAGCGGUGAAAUGCUUAGAGAUUACAUGGAAUACCAAUUGCGAAGGCAGGUUACUACUAAUGGAUUGACGCUGAUGGACGAAAGCGUGGGUAGCGAACAGGAUUAGAUACCCUGGUAGUCCACGCCGUAAACGAUGGAUACUAGCUGUUGGGAGCAAUCUCAGUGGCUAAGCGA
rnacentral:rRNA from 1 species